CUUUAUAUUUCUUUAAUAAUUACAUGUUGUAGUACUUAAACUACUCGAUUAAUGCACAGAAAUAAUGUUUGCCAGUCUACUACUUGCGAUUGCUAUAGUAGCAGCGGCUCCCCUUCAGAAUGAUGUUAAAAAUGACCCCCUUGUGUUCAUAUCGAACCCUGUGGAGUCCGAGUACCCUGGACACUGGAUCCCGCAGAGCAUCCUCCGAGUAAUUUUAAAUAGGCCAAAUGAUCCUUCUACGAAACAACCAUUGAAAAAUCCAGAUAACCAACUGCUCGAUUCAAAAUCAAGAAAAUCACCUACAUCUAAAAAUACUACUCCUAAA